CAUUGCUAAAAAAAAAUAAAUCGUGGUUCUCUGCUGCUGUAUUUUUCAAUCUAGAUGCGGAGGCUGUAUCAGGAAGUACAUAUUGUACCUUGCCAUGGCUGUUAUACGUGGGAUUUUAGAGGACAUUUGGAAUAUUUAAGAUUGACAUGAAAAACGUCUUUGAGUCAACUGCUUGCUUCAUUCUGAUAUACUGUGUUUCUGCCAUUGUGCUUGUUAAUAUGUACAUAACUGCCCAAGACAGAAAGCCUUUCAGAGUUUAUGGGGGCUAAUUUUCAUAAUUGUCCAGUUUUCCGUUGGACUUCUGCAGUCCCCUACAGCGAAUAGUUGCUUAGGAACCACUUCCUUCCUCCCAUGGAGCCCCUUCGCUGGAGCUCUCUGCAUGGUCGCUACUUAUCCUUUUUUUUCUUUUUUUUAAACCCUGCAGGGUUUAGUGUUCUGUGUGCUGUUCACCUAGCCCUAUUUUAAUGUUUGUUUCCAGGAGAUUAUUAGCAUCACUUAGCUAACAGUUGUUUACUUUCAUUGCUGAAGAUCCAGAUGGGUCCACUGCAGGGGAUUAAGAUUAUAGGUAUUGAUAGCUUUGUGCUAUAAUCCAAUUAAAGCAUCACAUAUGUACAUUUCCUGCCUUCAUUAUCUCAUAGAGGCGUGUUUUGUUCAAACUAUAUGAUAGCAAACCUGCAACAGAUUGCUCACAUUCAUUAAAACUGUGCUCGUGCUUGUCAUGUUCGAUCUAAGAGAAAUCGCGUUAUCACAGUUAUUACUGAAUUGCCUGGAUACUAGUAAAAGAUCACAGUUUGCAAGACGCCGUGAAUGCCUAGGUGUCACAGCCCAACAGGUGUAACGGUGAUAUCACAGCAGAAGAUGCUUUCAAAGAUCAUUUAAACCACGCUCACUUGAGUGGCUCAGCGUUCCUUUUCGCACAUUGUGCCAGCAGUGUCACAUUGGUUUGUACUUGAAAAAGAUCCCGCUCACCAAAUUUCACACUUUAUAAUGUGUGAGAAUUUAAAUGGCUAAAAGUUGUUGCUCUUCUGCAUGUGCCUUUUAAAGCUGAUACCUUAGGAAGCUGUUGCCUUCUUGCCUUUCUGACUGUAUUGAAUUUUAGGGAUUUUUUUUCUUUUUCUGUUUGCUUACAGUCGGUUAUAAUAUUUAGUUAUAUGUCAGCAAAGUUGCUAUUUAUAUAGAAUAACUAACUUUUAAAAUGCUGUUCCCCUAUACUCACUGCUAAGAAAAAGAUCUGGAUUUUUCCAGUUUGAGUGACUCGCCAGUGCAUAGUGUUUGUAACUGUGGCCAGAAAUGCUGUUGAAAGUGAAUCCACAUGAACCACAGCAGUACACUCUCAGAACAGGAAAAAACCCUGUAAUAAGAAAGCAUUAGAUUAUAGUUAAUGACAAAUUAUACUAAAC
ensembl:lncRNA